rnacentral:rRNA from 1 species
AUGAUUUGGAAUUCCUGGUUAGAUUUUUCCAAACCACGCGAGGGGAACGCGACAGGUCCCAAAGACCCAAACGAAAAGACCAAGAACUCCAGGCUAGACCCGUUACCAGCCACUGCCUGGUUGAUCCGAAGAUCCACAGGCUUCGUCACUGCCAACUACCCUGUUGGCGAAGAGAAAAAUAGCGAGCAGACGAUGCUCAAAGCCGUGCAGCUCGUUCUCCGGGAGACGAGCAGAGUUCACGGGUUGACGGCGUCAGGUAUCGUCAAUGGCUUCUCCACGGCUCCGAACUCUCAGAGGUUAGCUGGUAAGGUGGCGGUCAUCACCGGCGCCGCGAGCGGCAUUGGCAAGGCGACGGCCAUGGAGUUCAUCAGGAACGGCGCCAAGAUCAUCAUCGCCGACGUGCAGGACGACCUGGGCCGCUCGGUCGCCGCGGAGCUCGGCCCGGACGCGGCCUACGUCCGGUGCGACGUCUCCGACGAGGCGCAGAUCGCCGCGGCCGUGGACCUCGCCGUGGAGCGGCACGGACACCUGGACGUCCUCUACAGCAACGCCGGCAUGUCCGGGUCCGUGACGCAGAUCGCCGUGGGCGCCCUCGACCUCGCCGACUUCGACCGCGUGAUGGCGGUGAACGCGCGUUCGGCGGUCGCGUGCAUCAAGCACGGCGCGCGCGUCAUGGCGCCGCGCCGCCGUGGCAGCAUCCUCUGCACAGCCAGCGUGAUGGGCGUGCUCACCUUCGGCGCCCCGGCCAUCGCGUACGCCGUCUCGAAGGCCACCGUCAUCGCGGCGGUGCGCGCGGCCGCGGGCCCGCUGGCGCGCGACGGCGUGCGGGUGAACGCCAUCUCGCCGCACGCCCUCGCGACGCCGCUGACGCUGCGGUCGAUGGCCGAGAUGUGCCCCGGCAUGGACGAGGCGGCGCUGAGGCGGGUGGUGGAGACGGACUGGAGCGAGCUGGGCGGGGCCGUGCUGGAGGCGGAGGACGUGGCGAGGGCGGCGUUGUACCUGGCGUCGGACGAGGCCAAGUUCGUCACCGGGCACAACCUGCUCGUCGACGGCGGGUUCACCGCGCACAAGGCUGUCGGCAUGCCGUCCGUGGCACGUUGA